rnacentral:misc_RNA from 1 species
GAUGAAGAACGUAGCAAAAUGCGAUAAGUAAUGUGAAUUGCAGAAUUCAGUGAAUCAUCGAAUCUUUGAACGCACAUUGCGCCCGCCAGUAUUCUGGCGGGCAUGCCUGUUCGAGCGUCAUUUCAACCCUCAAGCACAGCUUGGUGUUGGGACUCGCGUUAAUUCGCGUUCCUCAAAUUGAUUGGCGGUCACGUCGAGCUUCCAUAGCGUAGUAGUAAAACCCUCGUUACUGGUAAUCGUCGCGGCCACGCCGUUAAACCCCAACUUCUGAAUGUUGACCUCGGAUCAGGUAGGAAUAUCCGCUGAACUUAAGCAUAUCAAUAAGCGGAGGA